rnacentral:lncRNA from 1 species
GGUUGCUUUGUGACGUGGCUGGGGCCCGAGACUGCGGUGUACCCGGAUCACACACGUCGGAUACAAAGCGGCCGCCACCCGACACUGAGCACCGGGAGUGAACUCACCUCUCCUACACGAAGUCCAGAGCUAGGCCUCCGUGCCCGCUGCCCCACUCCGCGUUCACGGCAGCGCAGACGGUCUCAGGCAGAAGAGCCCUUAAAGAGUUCUGGAAGGAACCUCACCACAGUGUUUCCCGGGCCAGGGUCUCAGGACGCUGAGAUCUGUGCACAGGACUUUGCAGGCUGUGGAGAGGAGCGUGCGUCUCCACGGAACAACUUGACUCACAACCAACCCUAACUGAGUCAGUAAGUUAAGGGCUCAUGGGGCUAAGAUGUACCAAUAAGUGUUCUCCUUCAGAGAAAACGUGCACCGGGCCCGGGAUUUAGCUCACUGGCGCCACCGCCUGCCUCCCAAGAGUUCG